rnacentral:misc_RNA from 1 species
CUCCUCUGAUUAUAUAAUCCUGAAUAUAUAGAUUAAGGUAAGUAUCACAACCACAAAACAGAAAAGGUGAAACAUAACACAUACAACUAAAACAUAACACGUACUGUCAACUCAAUUAUGCUAAACUCAGAGAAAAGUGCAUUCCCAAAUGCUAAUUUAUUCAACUCUUAAAUUCCAUUGCAGAAACUGUAAACAAUUAUCAUAUCAAGCACUGAAAGGGAAUUUCUUUUUUGCACUUGAAUAAAGUACAAGUGUUAUUAUUUAGGGAUAAUUAUGCCUAGAACAUUCAAACUUAGGAUUGUUACAAAUCAAAUCACAUGCUUUAAAACAUUAUAAAUUUAGGGCAAUCCAGCAACAAAGCAAGAAGAAUUUCAGAAAUAGAAAUAGGAAAAUUGGCAAACAAAAAAGGGGAAACUACUCAUAAAACACGAAGGACAAUAUGGGAAUAUUUAAGUUGAGUAACAUUACAGAAAAACAGAAUAGCUCAAACCACUUCUUCACACUUUCAAUCAGCUCAAGCCAAUUAAACAACAGAAGCCAAAAAGUUGACUCCAAUUUAUUACUCGUAUCAAGAGUGCAAGAAAAAAAAAUACACAUCUUCAGUAAAAAAGAAGCUCGCACAAUAAACGCAUUUUCCAAGUGCAAUUCCAAACUUUUCAUGCCUUACAAGACAUGUGAAAACACAAAUUUA